ensembl:lncRNA
CAUAUUUAUCAGGAAGAAUACACAGAAAUGUUUUUCUUAUGGAUAAACCCAUCAUAACCAAGCCACCUUUGAUAAAAUUUAACAGAGUUUACUAUUUUCUUUCCAGGCUCAAGUAUUAUAAAGCAAGAGAAAUAAAUGAUUCCUCCUUUCUGCAAACCUUCUACCCCUUUCUGUAGCUGUUCAUUGUUUGUAUUUUUCUAUCAUCUUUAGGUUUCACAUUCUGGAACAGCCAGAACUUUAAGACAAGAUCUUUUUUUGUUUUGAUAAACAAAAGUGCAUUCCAUUAUGUCCUUGGCCACCAUAGUAAUAUUUCUCUGUCAUUACUGUUCUCAGUAUAGCCUCAAAAUUCUUAUUAGUGAUAACUUUAUCAAAGUCACUGUCAGUCUAUUUGUGUUGCUAUGAAGGAAUACCUGAGGCUGGGCAAUUUAUUAAGAAAAGAGUUUUGUUUAUUUGGCUCAUAGUUCUGCAGGCUGUACAGGAAGCAUGAUGCCAGCAUCUGCUUUGCUUCUGGAAAGAGGACUUCUAUGCAGGACUACAUUACCCAAAUUCCCUUGCCAGCUUCAGUUUGGGGCCAGCCAAUGGGAGGAAGUGCCAGGGAACCAGUAGGCGGGAGAAGAAAGACUACAGAACUUCCUUCCUGCCCCCUCCGACUUCUGCCUCCCUCACUGGCAGCAACCCAACCCCUCCAUUGCUGACCUCUGCCCACCUCUACCAGUGGUCCUUCCUCUGCUGCAGCAGUGACACUAUUUUCUUCCUUUGUUCUUCCAACCCCAGUUAUAGGGUUGGUGCCUCAGGAAAUAACUGCUUUGGGAGAGAAGGACCAGGGGAAGAAGAGAGUGGCCUGCCUGCCUUCUGCUGUUUUCUCAAAUGGCAAGGUGCCAUACACAGGAGUAGCAUGUCCUGAAUUCCAUCAUUAACUAUGGAGUCUCACCCUGUUGCCCAGGAUGGAGUGCAAUGGCACAAUCUCAGCUCACUGCAACCUCCACCUCCUAGGUUGAAGCGAUUCUCCUGCCUGAGCCUCCAAAGUAGCUGGGAUUACAGGUGUGUCCCACCACAUUCGGCUAAUUUUUUGUAUUGUUAGUAGAGAAGGAGUUGUACCAUGUUGGCCAGGCUCGUCUCAAACUCCUGACCUGCCCACGUUGGCCUCCAAAAGUGCUGGUAUUACAGGCAUGGGCCACCAUGCCCAGCCAAGAAUUUCUUAUUUAUAAAUAUACUUUCCACUGAAAAAUCAAUGUGCACUAAUUUUUUUUUCAGAUACUAUGGUUCACCAUAACUUUUAGCGUUUUCUGUGCCAUUUCUUAGACCUAAGCUUCCUAUUAUUGUCUACUAAAUAAAUUGUGCCUUCUGUUUACUCUUCUUCAGAGUGUGAGUACUUUAUUUCAAGAUAAUUUUCACCAGCAUUUUAUUGAACACUUACUCUGUACCAGUCUUCAUACCAAGUUACAUACAUUCACAAUUUCAUUGGAAAGCUUUGUGAAAUUCUAUGAGGGUAGUUUACCAUUCUCUUUAAUAAAUGAAGAAAUUAGGCUAGCACCUCUUAAGUAACAUUCAUAAAGCUACAUCUCUGAUGAAUAAGAGAGCUGGGAUUCAAAUCCAGGUCUGACUUCAGAAACUGUACUCGCAACCACUAGGUGAGGCUAUCUCAUUCUUCUGUAUAUAUUUAGCCUUAUAUUCUCUACCCCAGCUCUCAAACUUUAUGUAACUUUUACUCUACAUAUUUCUAUUGUACUGCCAUUUGAAUAUUUUAUGUCUUCAUAAAUUUUCUCACCUCAUUUUAUUUCCUAUAUUUCUGAGCCCCUAAAAACAAAUUAUGUCUAUGCUUUUCUUACUGGCCUAUUCUAUUAAAAAAUAAGGCUCACCACCCAGGAUUGGCUGCCACCACUACUGGCACCUGCACACACCAUGACCUAACUGAUCUGUGGCCAAUCAUUGCUGGCAACCCUGCCCUGUCUUGUAGCUGUACACCUUCAUGUUCCCCCCAGAAGCCACAAACCCAGGCUUUUCUGUGUUCUUAUUUCAAGAAAAGCCAUGCCACAGCCUCCACAAACAAUAGCCUCUAUCACUGAGGCACUCACAACAUGAACAUUCAUUACAGCUAAAGAAAUCACAGAGACUAUAUCACCGUGCCCAGCAACAAAAAGCACCCUACCCAACUGACACUUACAGAUACAUCAAAAGGGAAAAAUAAUUUCCUACAAAAUCUUCUCUGUACAAUUGGAAAGAAGUGACUGUUUUAUUCAAAUGCAUAGAUAUCAACAUAGAAACAGAAGAAAAGUGAAAAACAUGACACCUUCAAAGAAACAAUCCUAUAGCAGUUGACACAAAUGAAAAAAAUUUAUGAAGAAGAAACCUGAAGAAUAUAAAGAUUUUAAGAAAAUUCAGC